rnacentral:rRNA from 1 species
AUUGAACGCUGGCGGCAGGCUUAACACAUGCAAGUCGAGCGGAGAGAGGUAGCUUGCUACUGAUCUUAGCGGCGGACGGGUGAGUAAUGCUUAGGAAUCUGCCUAUUAGUGGGGGACAACAUUUCGAAAGGAAUGCUAAUACCGCAUACGUCCUACGGGAGAAAGCAGGGGAUCUUCGGACCUUGCGCUAAUAGACGAGCCUAAGUCGGAUUAGCUAGUUGGGGGGGUAAAGGCCUACCAAGGCGACGACCUGUAGCGGGUCUGAGAGGAUGAUCCGCCACACUGGGACUGAGACACGGCCCAGACUCCUACGGGAGGCAGCAGUGGGGAAUAUUGGACAAUGGGCGCAAGCCUGAUCCAGCCAUGCCGCGUGUGUGAAGAAGGCCUUAUGGUUGUAAAGCACUUUAAGCGAGGAGGAGGCUACUCUAGUUAAUACCUAGAGAUAGUGGACGUUACUCGCAGAAUAAGCACCGGCUAACUCUGUGCCAGCCGCCGCCGUAACAC